ACGUCGGUAGUACAAUGGUUACAGCACACGCACUUGGAUAGGGUGAAAUGCGGGUUCGAGUCUCGCUUGACGCA